AAUGAACGCUGGCGGCGUGCCUAAUACAUGCAAGUCGAGCGAACAGACGAGGCGCUUUCUCCUCUGACUUUAGCGGCGGACGGGUUCUUCACACGUGGUUAACCUACCUAUAAGACUUUGAUACCUUCACGAAACCGUGUCUACUACCGAAUAAUAUAUUGCACCGCAUUGUUCAAUAGUGAAAGACGCUUUUUCUUUCACUUAUAGCUUACUCCGCGCCGCAUUAUCUAGUUGGUAAGGUAGAGGCUUACCAAGGCAACGAUGCGUAGCCGACCUGAGAGGGUGGUCGGCUACACUGGAAGUGAGAAAGGGUCGAGACACCGAGGGGAGGCAGCAGUAGGGAAUCUUCCGCAAGGGGGGAAAGCGGGACGGAGCAAAGCCGCGGGAGGGAUGAAGGUCUUAGGAUCGUAAAACUCUGUUAGUAGGGAAGAACAAAUGUGUAAGUAACUAUGAAGGUAUUGACGGUACCGAAUCAGAAAGCCACGGCUAACUACGUG
rnacentral:rRNA from 1 species